UGAGACGGUUUAAACGGAAGCAUCUUACAGCCAUCGACUGCCAACAUUUGGCUCGGAGUCACUUGGCUGUGACCCAGCCCUUCGGUCAAAGAUGGACCAACAGAGACCCGAACCACGGUCUCUAUCCUAGACCCAGAACAAAAAGAGGGACUAGGGGUCAAGGAUGUCGAAGGUACGGCACUGAAUUCCUCCUAGCUGGCCAGCAGCGGCGCACCAAUGACAUGGCCAAAAGCAAUUCUGUGGGCCAGGACACCUCUAAGGACUCGGAGGGGGAAAUGAUCUUUGCCGCGGAGAGCAACUGUGCCCUGCCUCGAGAAGGUGAUGGAGAAGCCAGACUGGGCUCAUCAGGGUCCGCGCCGCCUGCGAGGAAGCGGUCCCGGUCCUUUGAGGAUGAGAGGAAUCCGGCAACAGGGACCAGUCAGUGGGACGGGGCUUCUAAGAAAACGCCACGGCAUCGUUCGCUCCUGUCAUGCCCAAGACCCCGGGAAGCCAGGCAGGAAGCAGAGGACUUUGUGUCCCGGCCCUCUGCGGAGUCCGGAGAACCCAGCCAGGAAGUGGAAGACGUCGGUCCUGACCCCAUUCCUGACUCUUACUAUGGGCUCCUGGGGAACUUGCCUUGCCAGGAACCCCAGAGCCACAUGGGCAGCCUGCCCAGUGAGGUCCUGAGGCACAUCUUUGCUUUCCUCCCUGUGGAAGAUCUCUACUGGAACGUGAGCUUAGUGUGCCACUUCUGGAGGGAGAUCAUCAGCGAUCCGCUGUUCAUUCCUUGGAAGAAGCUGUAUUACCGAUACCUGAUGAAUGAAGAGCAAGCCGUGAGCAAAGUGGAUGGCAUCCUGUUGAACUCCGGUAUAGAGAAGGAGUCGGACUUGUGUGUGCUCAACCUCAUCCGCUAUACAGCCACCACUAAGUGCUCCCCAAGCGUGGAUCCCGGACGGGCGUUGUGGAGUCUGAGGGAUCACCUCCUCCUCCCUGAGGCAGAGGCCUGCGUGCGUCAGCACCUCCCCGAUCUCUACGCGGCUGCUGCGGGUGUCAACGUGUGGGCUCUGGUGGCGGCCAUUGUGCUCCUCUCUAGCAGUGUGAAUGACAUCCAGCAGCUGCUCUUCUGCCUCAGGCGGCCCGGCUCCACCGUGACCAUGCCAGACAUCACGGAGACCCUGUACUGUAUCGCCGUGCUUCUCUAUGCCAUGAGGGAGAAGGGGAUCAACAUCAGCAACCGGAUUCACUACAACAUUUUCUAUUGCCUGUAUCUUCAGGAGAAUUCCUGUACUCAGGCCGCAGAAGUUAAAGAGGAACCAUCGGUUUGGCCAGGCAAGAAAACAACCAUCCAGCUCACACAGGAACAACAGCUGAUUCUGAACCACAAGAUGGAACCCCUCCAGGUGGUAAAGAUUAUGGCAUUUGCAGGCACCGGGAAGACCUCUACCCUGGUCAAGUAUGCUGAGAAGUGGUCUGAGAGCAGGUUUCUGUAUGUGACAUUCAACAAGAGCAUCGCAAAGCAGGCCGAGCUAGUCUUCCCCAGCAAUGUCAUCUGCAAAACCUUCCAUUCCAUGGCCUAUGGACACGUCGGGCGGAAGUACCAAUUAAAGAAGAAAUUGAAUCUCUUCAAGUUGACCCCUUUCAUGGUCAAUUCUGUCCUUGCUGAAGGGAAAGGUGGAUUCAUAAGGGCCAAGCUUGUGUGUAAGACUUUAGAAAACUUCUUUGCCUCGGCUGACGAAGAGCUGACGAUUGAUCACGUGCCUAUCUGGUGUAAGAACAGCCAAGGACAGAGAGUCAUGGUUGAACAGAGUGAAAAGCUGAACGGUGUCCUUGAAGCAAGCCGACUCUGGGACAACAUGCGGAAGCUGGGGGAAUGCAAAGAAGAGGCGUACCAAAUGACUCACGAUGGCUAUUUGAAACUCUGGCAGCUGAGCAAGCCUCUGCUUGCCUCUUUUGACGCCAUCUUUGUGGAUGAGGCCCAGGACUGUACCCCAGCUAUCAUGAACAUAGUUCUGUCUCAGCCAUGUGGGAAAAUCUUUGUAGGGGACCCACAUCAACAGAUCUAUACCUUCCGCGGUGCGGUCAAUGCUCUGUUUACAGUCCCUCACACGCACGUCUUCUAUCUCACACAGAGUUUUAGAUUUGGUGUAGAAAUAGCUUAUGUGGGAGCUACUAUCUUGGAUGUCUGCAAGCGAGUAAGGAAAAAGACUUUGGUCGGAGGAAACCAUCAGAGUGGCAUUAGAGGUGACACAAAGGGGCAGGUGGCCCUGUUGUCCCGGACCAAUGCCAAUGUGUUUGAUGAGGCCGUGCGGGUGACCGAAGGAGAAGUGCCUGCCAGGAUACAUUUGAUUGGGGGGAUUAAAUCAUUUGGAUUGGACAGAAUCAUUGAUAUUUGGAUCCUUCUUCAGCCAGAGGAAGAACGGAAGAAACAGAACCUCGUUAUUAAAGACAAGUUUAUUAGAAGAUGGGUGCACAAGGAGGGCUUCAGUGGCUUCAAGAGGUAUGUGACCGCGGCUGAGGAUAAGGAGCUGGAGGCCAAGAUUGCAGUCGUUGAGAAGUAUAACAUCAGGAUUCCAGAACUGGUGGAGAGGAUAGAGAAGUGUCACAUAGAAGACCUGGACUUCGCAGAGUACAUUUUGGGCACUGUACACAAAGCCAAAGGCUUGGAGUUUGACACUGUGCACGUUUUGGACGAUUUUGUGAAAGUGCCUUGCGCCAGGCACAACCUUGCACAGCUGCCCCACUUCAGAGUCGAGUCGUUUUCUGAGGAUGAAUGGAAUUUACUGUAUGUCGCGGUAACUCGUGCCAAGAAGCGUCUCAUCAUGACCAAGUCCUUGGAGAACAUCUUGACUUUAGCUGGGGAGUACUUCUUGCAAGCAGAACUGACCAGUAACGUGUUGAAGACCGGGGUGGUUCGCUGCUGUGUGGGGCAGUGCAACAACGCCAUCCCCGUGGACACUGUGCUCACCAUGAAGAAGCUCCCCAUCACCUACAGCAACAAGAAGGAGAACAAGGGCGGCUACCUCUGCCACUCGUGUGCAGAGCAGCGCAUUGGGCCGCUGGCCUUCUUGACGGCCUCCCCCGAGCAGGUGCACUCCAUGGAACGCACCAUCGAGAACAUAGUGCUGCCCAGACACGAAGCCCUGCUCUUCCUCGUCUUCUGAAAGCCACGGGGAGCUUUCUCCACGCACGUCAGGGAUGCAGAUGGCAGGUAGGGGAGCUGGCGCAGCGUGACCCAGAGAGCUCGCCGCUCCUGGUCUCAGCCCACCAAGCGGCGUCCUGGAGCGGGCCUCGUAGCUUCACUUGUCGCGGCCUCCCCUUAGCCUCUUCCGUCAGCCUGGUGGCGCUUAGAGUGCGGGCCGUUGCAACAACUGAAGUGCUUUAUAUCUUUUGACUCAUUUUGAACAACCAUAAAAGAAGGGGAUGUGCCAUUCUUCACACUUCCUCCUGCUUGCUAGCUGAGAUGCGGACCUGAUGAUGGGAGCCCCAGCAGUCAUACUGGAAUUUGAAAGAGAUAGGCGGAGGCUCCCUGCAGUGACCUGGAAGAGGAAAAGGAAAUUCUCAAGGCAAGUUGGCGACGGCAUGGAACCUCCUGAUUCUGGGCUGAGAAGAGCUAACAUCCAUGAGCCUUCCCAAGAUUCAGAGGGCACCUGUGACCCUUACCUGUCACGUGGCCAUGUACCACGACGAAUGUGAGGAUUCCCCACAGCAGCAGGCUUGGCUCCAUCUUGAGGGCAGUGAAGAGAAGGUGUUUCUCUGCAGAAGGUUUCCAGUCAGCCUCUUAUUUGUAUCAUGCUGGGAGGAUGAGGGAUGAAAGGAUCAAUCCACUCAGGGUGUCAUCAUGCUGUGGUCCCUCUGGUCUCUAUGACAGUCCGAAGUUGCUCUCUAUAAGUAUUAGGCUGCUUUGGUGAGCCAGGAAAUUGUGCCUAGCCCUCUCUAGUUUCAAAUAUAGGAAGUGGUUUUAACCAGGUUUUUUUUCAAGUUCAAUUGCUGGGAGGUGUGGGCUGGGGUGGUGAGAAGGAUUGGACUUCGUUUAUGAAUCCUUUCUUCAGCUUCACCCAGAAAAGGAAAGGGAGAUUCCCCUGCUGCUGAAAGAGAGUGAGCAAGCACUUCGUGGCAGUGGUCUCAUUUAGUGUUUCAUAAAUUGACAUCACCUUGAAAUUGAGGUCCUCCCCCAGACUUGUGGCUCCCUGAGGAGUCAGCAGGUGCCACACAGGAUGAGGGGAGCCUAGUGGGGUCUUCAGUAUUCAGGUAAUUAAAAAGGAAGCAGAAAACUGACCCAUAUUCAAAAUUCAUGAAUUGUCUACCAAGAUCUAUAAUCAGUAGUGUAGUGGCCACAAUUGUUUCACCAUGAUGUCCAGGUUCCUGAAUGUGAAUUGUGAUUUUACAAGAUAUUUUGCCUCCAGAUUUGUCUUUCUCUUAAAGGAUCAUACUAAAAGUCAGCUUUGAUUUUAAACUUUAGAUUUUUUUUUUGCAAAAUUAAAUCAUUCUUCAUUGUUUAAUUAUCAGAGUUAUCUUCUGAUUUUCAUGAAAUGGUUGACUGUGUUUGCUAUCUGGAAAUUCACAUCCAUUAGCAAUCAUCUAAUGAUCACAGUAUAAUAUGAUCUUUUUAAGAAGUUUACUUAUUUAUUUUGAGAGAAAGAGAGCGUGAAUGGAGGAGGGGCAGAGAGAGAGGAAGAGAGAAUCCCAAGUAGGCUCCAUGCUGUGAGCACAGAGUGCAACACAGGACUCGAACUCACGAACCGUGAGAUCAUGACUUGAGCCAAAAUCAAGGAUUGGACACUCAACCCACUGAGCCACCCAGGCACACUAAAAUACAACUUUUAAAAUAUUUGAAAGCAAGUAAAUAUAUUGACAAAAGGAAGACCAUCUUUUCAACCAAAGCAGUUCAUGGUUCCAAUAUGUAUUAUCUCUACCCCUGACAUUCUCUCAGAAAAGCAACUACCUCUGAAAAGAACCUUGGAAUUCUGCAAAUGAACUAAGAGUAGUUUCCUAACUAAGUACCAGAGUUUGCAGAGAAAACUCGUCAACUGAUCUCUUUCUGGGAGUGGGAUACUUAUCAAAGCAUGACAAGAUUAUUUUUUUAAGAUUCCAGAACAGGCUUCACCUCAUGGCUAGAAACAUUUUCAACUGUGUGGAUGAAUGCAGCAAUUCUGUUAUCCCCGGAGUCUGUCCCAGUGACUGAACUGGAGGUUUUUGCUACCAUAGUUAUCAUUGUAUAGUUUUUAAACAAACUUACAGAAAAAAUAUAAUAUGAACAUCUCCCUCCAAUAAACUAAGAGUAGUUGUCAGUGCGAUGUUCUAUUGCCCCCAAGUAGUUGAGUGUGUAUUUCCUACAAACAAGGAAAUUCUCCAACAUCACUACAACCAUCAAUCAGGAAACCAUAUUGAUGCAUUACUACCAGGCAAUCCUUAGACCCAAGUUUCUCUAGUUGUCUCAGUAAUGUCCCUCACAUCAAAGGAUCCAGUUCAGAAUCAUCUGUUGCAUCUAGUUGCCAUGUGUCUUUAGCAGGUCCUUUGUCUUGGCUUUCAUGACCUGACAUAUUUGAGGAUUACAAAUGAGUUAUUUUGUAGAUUAUCCCUCAGUUUGGAUUUAUUUACCAUUUCCUCACUAUUAGAUCAGGUUUUGCAUCUUUGGCAAGAAUAACACAGAAGUGGUGCUGUGUUCUUAUCAUCACACCCUUCGAUCCCAUUACUGAUGCCGUUUACUUUGGUCCUUUGAUUGAAUAAAGUGGUGUUAUCUGGGUGCCCCCUGUUUUAAAGUCA